AACGAACGCUGGCGGCAGGCCUAAAACAUGCAAGUCAAACGCUGUAGCAAUACAGAGUGGCGCACGGGUGAGUAACACGUGGGAAUGUGCCCUAUGGUACGGAACAACUUUUGGAAACGAAAGCUAAUACCGUAUGGUCCCUUCGGGGUAAAGAUUUAUCGCCAAAAGAGCAGCCCGCGUCUGAUUAGCUAGUUGGUAGGGUAAUGGCCUACCAAGGCGACGAUCAGUAGCUGGUCUGAGAGGACGAUCAGCCACACUGGGACUGAGACACGGCCCAGACUCCUACGUGAGGCAGCAGUUAGGAAUAUUGGACAAUGGGCGCAAGCCUGAUCCAGCCAUGCCGCGUGAGUGACGAAGGCCUUCGGGUUGUAAAGCUCUUUAGUCCACGAAUAUAAUGACUGUAGUGGAAGAAUAAGCCCCGGCUAACUUCGUGCCAGCCGCCGCCGUAAUAC
rnacentral:rRNA from 1 species